AGCUGAGCAAAUAAAUUGAAGUCAUCCCUCGCCAUUUAUCUGUGCCAUAAAAACCCAACAAACUCCAAAGCCGAACACCAAGGAAUCAUAUUGAAGAAGAAGCAGCGGAGUUGAAGCCAUUCCUCACUCCAGAAAACCAUGAAGCUGGAUUGCUUUGAGAAGAGGUGAUAGUUUAAAAGGAAUGGUAAGGGAAAUUUGAGUUCUCUUUAGAGGGUAUGUUUUUUCUUGGGUUUAUUGUAACUGUUGUUUUUCUUUGCUCUGUUGUGCUUAUUCUGUACUCUCCAUUAUCAAGGGGUUUGUGGGUUCAUUUUUCUUUUCAUGUUGAGGGGUUUGAGUUUUGCUAAUCUAUGUGAUUUAUGCCAUUUCGCUUGAUGGAAUCUUCAGUUUUCUCAUGUUUUACGGUUCAGUGGAUUGUGCUGUAAUAAAUUGUCCAAAUCUCUCUCUCUCUCUCUCUCUCUCUCUCUCGGGUGUUCUCAACACCAUCAUUUGGAUGCCAUGGGAUAAAAUUUGGGUUGUUUCUCUUAUUAGAGAUUGUUUUAGAAUCAAUAUAUGUAGGAGCUUAAAUCACAACUGUUUUAGUCAUGUUGUAUUUGUACCUCUGGAUGCAGAACUAUGUUUGAUUUAGAAAAUUCACAUUCACCAGGUUUUCUAUUGGUUUACAUGAUUACAAAAACUAGCUUAGGAAAUUCACAUUCACCAGGUUUUCCAUUGGUUUACAUGAUUACAAAAACUAGCUUAGGAAAUUCACAUUCACCAGGUUUUCUAUUGGUUUCUGUGAUUAUGAAAACCAGCUCUUGCUUUAUAGAGUAGUUCAAGCCCCAAAUAGGAGAGCAUAGUUGUUGAAGUAGACAUUACAAACUUGUAUUGAUAGGUUCUCUAAGUUCUAAGAGGCUGAAUCCACCAAAGUUGUUCUUGUUAGGGUUUAUGGACCACAUUAUGGCCAUCAACUUAGGAUAACUUGUGCAUACUAUUAAGGAGGUUGAACACAAGUCUCGGUUCCUUAACUGCUUGUUGUUGAGUGCAUCAGUAAGCUUCAUUUCUUUUCGAUGUUUUCGUCGUCGAUUGGAAUCUUUUGUCGAUAUUAGCCUGGGAUAUGGCAUUCAUUUUCAUGCUUCCUUUGCUAUGGGUAUCAUCUUUAAGUGCAUGUUUGUUUUGUAGAAAGGGGGCUGCCAAAGACUCCUCUUCCACACUUUGGAAGCUCAGUGACGUCUACAAAAUACAUAAGAUUCAUAGGGUCUUGAUCACAGUAUUGAUAGACUUUCAUUCACAUGACAUUUUUUAUUGUUAUCUAGAAUCAAAUGAUAUGUAGCAUAAGUUUUCUGACCAAAGUAACAAGGCUUGAUCUUUCUUGGGUUGCUUUUAAUAGAGUAGUUUUCACAGGAGAUUCCCAUAAAAAUCUAAAGAAAAAUCACAAAAAUAUGAAAUUACAGAAAUCAGUUUGGUAUGCAAGAAAUCUGGAUGUUGCUGCAUUAUAUGUUAUUGAUUUAGGGAAUGAUGUUAAUAACAGAAUGUUAUGCUAUGGAAAUAUUUGAUCCAUAAUAUAUGUGUGUCAUUCAGCAUAUAGAUAUCAGUGCAACCCCCUUACCUCUCAAGAUCCAACCAAGGCAAAUUGGACUACAAAUAACGAUGAAUUCAUGGUUGAACAAUUAAUAAAAUUAGAUUUUGCUGGGAAGCGGUCCAAAGAAAAGAAUUCCUCUCUUCAAAGUGGCAUCAACAUAUCCUUAUGAAACACAAGUUAAGAUAGUCGUUGCUGCUUGCACUUUACAUAAUCAUAUCCGAACUAUAACAUGUGGUGAUGAUUGGCUCUAUGAGAAGUAUGAUAGGGAAAUUGCAUGUGGAUCAGUUGAAGGAACAAAUAUUGAAUAUAACAAUGUAAACCCUCAAGCUGAUAAAAAUGAUAGCGAUGAACUGCGAGAUCGUAUUGCUAUAGCACUUUGGGAUGACAAUUGUGUUCACCGUUGAUCAUAAUAUGGCACAUAAAUAUAAUUGGUUGUAGUCAUGUUUUCUAGUAUUCUCUUUUGUGGCAAAAUUUCCAAUACUUUGAAUUAUAAUAUUAAUUACUUGGGGUAUUGUUCAUGGGUUGUGGAAAUGGUGUGAAACUCAUUUAAAAAUAUAGUUGUUCAUUCUCCUCUCUAUGCCUAUGGAAUUUAUUAAACGUAUGAAAGAACAUAGUUUAAAAUCAAGGUUGGUCAAAACUUUUUUAUGUAAUAAGAAAAA